CGUGGGUGAUCUGCCCCUGACUUUGGGAUAAGCCUGGGAAACUGGGUCUAAUACCGGAUAUGACCUUUUGGUGCAUGCCUUCUGGUGGAAAGCCUUGUGCGGUUGGGGAUGGGCCCGCGGCCUAUCAGCUUGUUGGUGGGGUAAUGGCCUACCAAGGCGACGACGGGUAGCCGACCUGAGAGGGUGAUCGGCCACACUGGGACUGAGACACGGCCCAGACUCCUACGGGAGGCAGCAGUGGGGAAUAUUGCACAAUGGGCGCAAGCCUGAUGCAGCGACGCCGCGUGAGGGAUGACGGCCUUCGGGUUGUAAACCUCUUUCACCAGGGACGAAGCGCAAGUGACGGUACCUGGAGAAGAAGCACCGGCCAACUACGUGCCAGCAGCCGCGGUAA
rnacentral:rRNA from 1 species